GCGGAUGUAGUUCAAUGGUAGAACUUCAGCUUCCCAAGCUGAUAACGCGGGUUCGAUUCCCGUCAUCCGCU
rfam:Nocardiopsis alba ATCC BAA-2165, complete genome.